AUACUCUGGUUUCUCUUCAUAUACGCAUAAAUCUUUCGCCUUUUACUAAAGAUUUCCGUGGAGAGGAACAAUUUGAGUGUUAAUUUUUUGAGGCUUUGUUUUGGCAAAGCU